UGCAAUGCGAUGAUUAGGAGAAGUACAUACUCCCGAUAUUUAAGAGAGAAGAUGGUUGGUGCGAAUCUUCAUGGAGGAAGUAUGGAAGUAGCCUUUGAGCAGUGAACCGAACGAGAGAAAUCUUUAGUAGACUUCAACGGAGUUUCCGCCGUUACAAGGAAAGCGGUAUCGAUUACAGUAGUCGUGCUGAUUUUAUUCAGAACCAUACAUGUUUUCCGUACUGACAGAGUGCAGAGGUUUUUCCUCUGAAUUUAGGUGGUAACACGGAAGUAGAUUCGCCCUAAGC
rnacentral:ncRNA from 1 species